GCCCUGGUUCAGGUCUGCAUCCUGGUGGAGUUCAACAAUUUCCAUUUCUCCAGAUGUUCCAGCCCUGUCUAAAUACCUUCGUUCUGAAUAACGGAAGGGCAUAGCGGAGUUGCUUCUGUUAU
rnacentral:lncRNA from 1 species